rnacentral:lncRNA from 1 species
CCUGUGCCAGCAUGUGUGUCUGUGUGCAUGCAUGCAUAUAUGUGAGUGUGUGCAAGUGUGUACAUGCAUGUGCUUGCCUGUGUGCGUGCGUGCCUGAGCGUGUCAAUGUGUGCAAGCAUUAUGUGCAAGUGUGAGUAUGUGUUUAUGCGUGUGCAUGCAUGUAUGUAAGUGUGUGUGUGUAUGUGGGUGUGUGUCUACACUGAAGGCACUUGGAGAUUGCAGGGCUACUCAGGGCAUUUCUGGCCUCCCCAACACUGGCUUGAGACUGUGUGCAGAGACCUGGAGCCCUCUCUCUCCUCGCUUUCUCCUGUAGGCAGGGUUGUAGCCUUCUAUGGGUCCCCAAUAUGUGCAGUGGUCAAGGAGUCGACAUUCAGAGACAAAGGCAGAUGCCUCAGCUGGGAGGAGCUAGUAUCCACUUCAGUGACUGGGGGGAGCUCACCCUGUGAUUCCAGGGGGCAGGGAAGUCCCACUGAGUAUCCUCCCAACACCCAUCAGAACUCUGACCUCCGCCUGGUUCUCUCCACAGGGCAGGGUGAAACUGCCAAGCCACUCAGACGGGACACAAAUGAUCUUCAAUGCCGCCAAGGAGCUGGGCCAGCUGUCCAAACUGAAGGAUCACAUGGUGCGAGAAGAAGCCAAGAGCUUGACCCCGAAGCAGUGUGCCGUGGUUGAACUGGCCCUGGACACCAUCAAGCAAUACUUCCACGCGGGGGGCGUGGGCCUCAAGAAGACCUUUCUCGAG